AAUGACCGCGGAUCAGGUGAGGAU
rnacentral:rRNA from 1 species